AUUGAACGCUGGCGGCAUGCCUUACACAUGCAAGUCGAACGGCAGCGGGGACUUCGGUCCGCCGGCGAGUGGCGAACGGGUGAGUAAAGCAUCGGAACGUACCCGGAAGUGGGGGAUAACGUAGCGAAAGUUACGCUAAUACCGCAUAUUCUGUGAGCAGGAAAGAGGGGGAUCUUCGGACCUCUUGCUUUCGGAGCGGCCGAUGUCAGAUUAGCUAGUUGGUGAGGUAAGGGCUCACCAAGGCGACGAUCUGUAACGGGUCUGAGAGGAUGAUCCGCCACACUGGAACUGAGACACGGUCCAGACUCCUACGGGAGGCAGCAGUGGGGAAUUUUGGACAAUGGGCGCAAGCCUGAUCCAGCCAUGCCGCGUGAGUGAAGAAGGCCUUCGGGUUGUAAAGCUCUUUCGGCCGGGAAGAAAUCGCAUGGGUUAAUACCCUGUGCGGAUGACGGUACCGGCAUAAGAAGCACCGGCUAACUACGUGCCAGCCGCCGCGGUAACAC
rnacentral:rRNA from 1 species